rnacentral:rRNA from 1 species
UGCGUCCUACGGGACGCAGCAGUGGGGGAUAUUGCACAAUGGGGGAAACCCUGAUGCAGCGACGCCGCGUGAGUGAAGAAGUAUUUCGGUAUGUAAAGCUCUAUCAGCAGGGACGAAAAUGACGGUACCUGAGUAAGAAGCCCCGGCUAACUACGUGCCAGCAGCCGCGGUAAUACGUAGGGGGCAAGCGUUAUCCGGAUUUACUGGUUGUAAAGGGAGCGUAGACGGCAGUGCAAGUCUGAAGUGAAAGCCCCGGGCUUAACCCGGGAAUUGCUUUGGAAACUGUACGGCUGGAGUGCUGGAGG